GACGAACGCUGGCGGCGUGCUUAACACAUGCAAGUCGAGCGGUAAGGCCCUUUCGGGGGUACACGAGCGGCGAACGGGUGAGUAACACGUGGGUGACCUGCCCUCAGCUCUGGGAUAAGCCUGGGAAACCGGGUCUAAUACUGGAUAUGACUCCAUGACGCAUGUUGUGGGGUGGAAAGCCUUGUGCGGCUGAGGAUGGGCCCGCGGCCUAUCAGCUUGUUGGUGGGGUNANGGCCUACCAAGGCGACGACGGGUAGCCGGCCUGAGAGGGCGACCGGCCACACUGGGACUGAGACACGGCCCAGACUCCUACGGGAGGCAGCAGUGGGGAAUCUUGCGCAA
rnacentral:rRNA from 1 species